UUUCUAUCUGUCCUAUUCUUAUUUAAACAAAUUUACAAAGUUCAAAGUCUUAGCUGUUUUUUUUCACCUUUUUUUUUUUUUUGAUACUUUUCCUCUGGGUUGCUUUUCCUCUAGGUUGCUUUUCCUCUGGGUUGCCUUUCCUCUUGGAUGCUUUUCCUCUAGGUUGCUUUUCCUCUGGGCUGGAAAGUUGUCUCGAACAUUAUGUGUCACUUUUAUUUCUUUGUGUUGUAUUUUUUAUGUUAAUCAGUUUUUGUUUUCAUUUCUCAGCACUAUAUUUUGUCUAAUUAUCUUUUAUGUCUGUUACAGUGGUGUUGAUUUUUUUCUGGUUUUACGUGGGAACAAUGGAACCAUGAGUCCUUCCCUGCAAUUUUUAUAGUUGUUGGGGUAGUAAGCAAUACUUCAUGUGGUCCAGUACAUUUUAUGUCUGUAGCCAAUUUUUGAUUGAAAUUUUUUAAGUAUACUAUAUCUCCUGGUUUGAUGUUGUGCAAAUUGUAAUCCAGGGGUACUGUUUGUUGUAUCAAGCCCAUUUCAUGCAACUCUGCUAUUCUUGUCUGUAAAACUUGUAUAUAUUUUGUUAAUUGACAGUCUAGUUUGUGAGAAGUUUUACGUCUAUAAUGGGAGUUGCUAUGGUUUAGUCAGAUUCAUUUAUGGAAGAAAUACAGAGCUCUGCUGAUCAUAAUCUGUUCAUCAAACUUCAUCUUAUCCAGGUCUGUGAGGAUAGCAAACUUUCCUAAUAUUGUUCUUUAUUUUACUUUUAAUUUAAAAAUUUUUUGACAUUCGGAAUAAUUUUUAAUAAUUGUUUCCUGAAAUGUUGUGAUCUGUAUUUCCUCCCUCACUUCCAUUCUUCCCCCCCUUCACAAGUCAUCAGGUAAUAUGAUAUAGGUUAUGUAGGUAUGAUCAUGCAAUACAUAUUUUCCUGUUUGUCAUAUUGUGAAAAAGGAACCGAUUGCUUACACUAGAGAAAAAUUCAUGGAGGAAGUAAAAUGAAGAAAGGUAUGUUUCAAUCUGCAUUCAGACUCCACCAGUACCUUUUAUGGCAAUGGAUAGCCUUUCUCCUCAUGAGUUCCUUGGAACUGUCCUGGAUCCUUGCAUUGCUGAUAAUAGUCAUUCACAAUUGAUCCACACACAUUAUUGCUGUUUCUGUGUACAAUGUUCUCCUAAUCAUGCUACUCAUGUGAUUUAUAAGGGCAGAGAUUCUCAAUUCAAGCCAGCAGCUAUUUGCUUGAUUGACUCCCCCUAAUGUACUCCUUCCACUCAGUCUUUUUACAUCUCUGUGUUAAUCAAUAAUAAUCAUCUAUAGGGGAAAAUCUCAGAACUCUAGAUUCUCUUCAACAUGAAGAGCUGAGAAUCUACAGAUUUGCCUCUUGUGCCCAAUAAACCGCUUGAUUCAUGAUUCUUUGUACAUUUGAGUUCCUUCUUGGUACCUCUACCUUGCUCUCCUCCUGCUCCCCAUUUAUAUUACAAAAGUGGGGAAGUGACGUAUACAUUUAAGUAAAAUAGUAGAACCAAGUGGACUUGAACUGAAAUUCUUUCACUUCAAAUUCAAUCCUCUUUUCUCUGCUACUUCAGGGUAUUAAUGCAAAAGGGCAGAUAUCCUCCUACAUAUGGAAAUUUCUGAAGGGAGAAGAGGAAGGGGCUUGGAGAAAUAUAGUGACUGCAGAAGCUGAAACACAGGGAUGAUUAGUAGUGCUGGUGUGAGCUCUGUGAGGUUCAGAUGCCACCCUGUUGGAAUGAAUCUCUGGGACAGUUGAGCAGAGCUCCUUUUUCAGAGCUAGGGUUGGGAGAGAGAGAGAGAGAGAGAGACAGACAGACAAACAGACAGAAAGACAGACAGAGACAGAGAGGGAAAGAGAGAGAUUGACAGAGAGAGAGAUAGAGAGACAGAGAGGGAAAAACAGAGACAGAGAGACAGAGACAGAGAGAGACAGAGAUAGAGAGAAAGAGCGAGGCAUGAGCCAGAUUUCUAUUUCUGUUUGGAUCUUAUAAAUAGCCAGGACCCCAUGUACCCAGGGUUGUUUCAUGUUACACUCUCUUUCAUUGCACUUAUGGUAGUGACUCCCUUGUCUCUUAUCUAGGAAUAUAGAUGUUGCUCAUUCUCUGACUCAACCCCACAACUGCUUAAGCUUUGCCCCUUUAUUCUUCCUAGUACAUGGCUUGAUUUAUUCUCCACUUAAUGUCACAGUUUUAGCACACGAGUUAACUGGAUCAGUGAAUGCAUAAUAAAAACUAAAGCAAUAAUCACAUGUAACAUAGACAAGACAUUACAUUCAGUCACUGACUCCAUCCCUUUCCAUCUCCUAGCCUUCUUUUGGUUUACUACUUAUAGUACAACCUGAAGAGAAAGCAACUCAGAAACUUAUUGUGUAAAGAUACCCUUACUUCUUCUCUGUGAAACAGGGGCAGCACUUGGGAAGUUAGUUAAUUGAUGACAGGAUUAGAUAACCCCGUAGUAAUUCUGGUUAUUCUCUUGGCCACAGAGGCAUAAGAAACGGGAAUACUAGAGCUUCCAAAUUAGUGUAAACAUAUAACACACAUUUUGCGUUCCCCUCUUGUUCAACUGACAGCUUACAGGCUUGUUCCCCACUCCUUCAUGGUAAGCAGAACCUCGAACUCUGAGCCUCUGCCUUUUUAUGUGAUUGUUAUUUCUGGGUAUACUCAUACAAGUUUUAAGACUAAUGACUCUUUAUUUUUAUUUCCCAUUGAACAAUGACUGUGAGAAUCACUCUUUACAGUGCUUUCUAAUCUUUCAUCAGUUUACUUGCUUUAACCUCUCACCCAUGGUUUCUGCCCUGGAAAAUGCUUGGAUCAUAUAAAAUGAAAUAUGUAGCCUAUGAUGCAUGAUUAGAAUUCUUCUGUUUCCAUUAUGUUUUUGCUAAUUCAACUAAGAUGUGUUUUUAAAAUUAUGAAUGACUCUGUGGUACUUCCAUCUAGUAAGCUACCAAUGUGGGAAUAAGCCAUUAAUGAGAAUUCCUAGAUUAUGAUGACUAAUAAUUUUUAUCUGAAUUGUAUCAGAUCUGAAAAGGCUGCAGGUUUCCAUUGGAACUGAACGCAUUUGUUUGGUGGUUGUGUGGCAGCUGGUAGCCUUAUAUGACGAAUAUAAAGUCCUUUAUAGAGUCCAUCUUAAUUGUAAGCAGUCAUGAUUCAUGUUAUUACUAUGGUACAUGGUACCAUGCUGUAACUCAAGACAAUCAAAAUGGUAUCCUGCCAAAAAGCAAAAGGGCAAUUGAAAAAUGCAUGGUGAGCAGGAUUAGGCUAUGUGAAGACUAAAUUUAACUCUCCCUUGAUUGUGAAAGUGAAAUUAUGUAACCCCUGACUAUUUUUAGAACACCUACUUAAAGUUGAAUGGGGAGAUCUGUCCAUUUUUAGAGCUAAUCACCAAAAGUAUAAACAUCCCACUUAUUCAUUAAGUGGGAGGUCUGUGACCCACAUGUGCAAUAGUGGGUGAUGAAUAAGAAUCGACUGACUCCUGGGCAGUACUAAGCAAGGCUUUAAACUAUGAUUUGUCCACAUAAAAAGUGGAGGAAGACACAGGAAGUGAUGUGAGAUAAAGUGUCUUUAAAAGGGAAUGACAACUUCCUGAAGGAGUUCUAUUGGGACUUCAUUCUUUGGAGUGGAGGUUGAAGGAGAAAUCUGCUGACUGGACCUGAGACCCUAUUCCUGAUGAUAUUGUUGGACUGACACAUGCUGAACUCCUUAUGGCAUGGACUUGAGGGCCAUUAUCAUUCUCUUUGCUCUUCUAUGGAUGCUCUCCAGUUUGCCUUUAAAUGAGACUGCUGCCACACUCUCUGGUACUGCUAAAAGGAACUUCAGAAAUGGAAAACCUUUCUGGACAUCUUUGAAAAACUUCCACAGAACAUGGUGCAGCCCAGACUCAUGGACUCUUGGAAAGCUCCUUUUCCAUCUCUGCUGCUGCUUGACCUUAUCACUCACUGCCAGUACUCAGCUCUUUCCAAAGCUACAAAGACUUUAAAUGGGGAGGUGCUAUCCACAAAAGAAACUCAAAUAGAAGAUGAGAGCUGGAGGUUAGGCUCCAAAAAUUAAACUUAAAAGCAAUGUAAUUGGAGUUUUAUGCUCAUUGGAUCAAAUUGGGGUGGAUACCAUUUAUAUUUGAGAAACUGAAACUCAUUUUCAUAUCCAGAAUGUUUGCAUAAUCUUAGGCCACAUUUGCCUGCUUGGCAUGGUCAAUCUCCUUCCCUGUAUCCUAAUCAUCUCUCUUGCUUCUGUCUUCUUGCUACCUUCUUCUUAAUGAAAACCAUCUCUUCAUUUCUCUUAUGCCCCUCUGCUUGGUUCUUGCUUCUCACUAUUUAAACCAUUAUUGCAACUGCUCAUUGUCUAUGGGAGUGGGGCGGGAAAUGGGAGGGAAAGAACAUGAAUUAUGUAACCAUGGAAAAAUAUUCUAAAUCAAUUAAUGAAAUAAAAAUUUUCAAAUAAAAAAUGUCAUCUCCUUGUGUGUAGGAACUGUUUUGCUUUCUUAUAUAAACAUGUAUCCUGUACGAGGAAUGUGCUUAAUAAAAAAUUUUAUCAAAAAAAAAAAAAACACCCAAACAUUGCUUUGGUUACUGCCUCACCUUCCCCAGACUCAGAUGCUUAGCCUCAGUCCCAGGUGUCAUCCAGUGGAAAGAUGUUGCCUCCAAGUCUUAGUCUUGGAUAAAUUGUGCCUUUUCCUUCUCAAAGCCCUUAUAUGUCAUAUCCACUCAAAAACUUCAAUCUUCACUUUAGCAUUGACCUCCCACCUUCAUUUUCAGAGACAUACUGGAAAAGUUGACAGUGAAUCAGAGCUAUCAGGUUUACCUUUUGUCUUUUCACAGCUGCAGACUCCCAGGCUUCCGAGCAGCUGCAUUGCUGAAGAGAGCCGGCUCUCACCCUUAGAAAGGACUGCUCCAGACUUGGCACCUCUCCCAUAGGGAUUGCAUCUGAAACAGCUGCUUAGGAACAAUGAAGACCUAUCAUACACUUUCUUUUCUACCCAGAUUAAAAAAAAAUUAUCUCCAGCUUUCUGGAGAGAUUUAGCAGAAUUGUGUUUCUGAUUGAGAGAGCCUGGGAAGUUUCUGUUUAGAUUGUACCUACUCUGACUGCCCUUGGUAGACUCCUUUUCCUUUCCCUUCUUUCUUGGGAGUCUAUGUUUCCUUCCUGGUCAGGAUCCUGGGGACCAAUCCGGAGAAGCAAAUCUUACUUAUAUUUCAUCUUGAGGUCCUUCUCCAUAAAAAUAGCAUCCUUUUAGGGGCCUAUAUUUAUAUAUAUGUGGAUGAAGAAGAGGUCUGCUGGAUUGCUCAGUGGAUAGAACAUUAGGCCUGGAGUCAGAAGACAUGAGUUCAAAUUUGAUCUCAAAUGCUUACUAGGAUGUGAUCUUGGGCAAGUCAUUAACCUCUGUUUGCCUUAAUCCAGUAGAGAAGGAAAUGGCAAACCGCUUCAUUAUUUUUGCCAGGAAAUCCCAAAGGACAGUAUGGUGCAUUGGAUCAUGAAGAGUCUAACUUGACCCAAAGACUUAAUAACAGCAAUAA